rnacentral:lncRNA from 1 species
CUUUGGAACACAAUUUCACUUCUAGCCCAAUCUGUGUCUCCUGAAUUGCAAUUCCUAAGACCCCAAUAAACACUUUGUCUUACUGCUUUACUGUCUGGUCUUUUGCCUCUUCUUGGUUGACAUUAAAUGGUGUCAGAAUAGAGUGGGGUACAACGCAACUUUCCCCUGCGUUCUGGCACUGCCAUGGAUUCAAGCAUGGUACCUGUAGGAUCCCUUUGUGUUCCAUCGUCUCCCCAACAGCCCAGGACCUCAUUGGACACAAUUGAAAACACUGGUUAUAUUACAAAAGCUUUGACUGGUAAUUUUGUGUCAUAUUUUCAAAUGUGACCAGGCUGCUUUGAGGAAUUGCAGUUUACUUUAAAGCCAACAGACUUGGAAAAAGACUGGCCGGGUACCAUAUCUACACUGUUCCCUUACAGGGUUCCUGACCUUGUGGUAAGUAAAAGUUGUCACUUUCUGACAGAAUAAGCUACCUCAGAUAUUUUGGGGACCUCAAGAAGAGAGAAAUUCACACAGGUAUUACAAGCCCAGUCUGAAGAUGAAUCCUUCGCUUAGUGUCCUAGCCUCAAGAGGCUUUUAAAAGUCUAUUCUGGGAUUUCUUAUUUAAAAGUUCCAGCAAGGCCAACUAAAAAAUAGCCUAUAUGGCCGAUCACUACUCUUACUGCAAACAAUCAGGCAAAGUAUACUAAGACUAAAAGUUAUUUUGCAAAUAAAUUGGUCCUCCUAUGUUUCAGCUUUGGUAGAAAUGGGAGACUAAAGAGAGAUACAUUAUUUUUCAGAAGAAAACUAUAGUACACGUUAUUAGAUUCUAGCCUUGUCCUUUGUUUGUGAGUUUUUAUUAUUUGAUUACAACAAUUUGGACUGAAUCCUGAAUUCUUUCCUAGCUACAAAUCUCCAAACUAACAUUUUCAUAUCUUUCCAUUUUUCUGACUUGGACUCAGUGAAAUUGCAGCUUGCUCCUGAGGCCCUGCAAGCUGAAGUUCACAUGUAAACAACCUUGUGAUACACAAACUACAGACCAGAAAAAUGUGACAGAUUGCCACUGCCUACUUCCACUUUAACUGAAGAUGGUUUGAGUCUAACAUCUAGCACUUCAACUGAUUGCCCCCCAAACUCUAAAGAAACUGGUUUAAAAAGUGUUCCAAACCGGUGAAACCCCGUCUCUACUAAAAAUACAAAAAAUUAGCCGGACGUGGUGGUGGGCGCCUGUAGUCCCAGCUACUCGGGAGGCUGAGGCAGGAGAAUGGCGUGAACCCGGGAGGCGGAGCUUGCAGUGAGCCGAGAUCGCGCCACUGCACUCCGGCCUGGGUGACAGAGCGAGACUCCGUCUCAAAAAAAAAAAAAAAAAAAAAAAAAAAAAAAAGUGUUCCAAACAUCUGGGAGGCUGAGGCGGGCGGAUCACGAGGUCAGGAGAUUUGAGACCAUCCUUGCUAAUCGCUGAAACCCCGUCCCUACUAAAAAUACAAAAAAUUAGCUGGGCGUGGCCGGGCGCAGUGGCUCACGCCUGUAAUCCCAGCACUUUGGGAGGCUGAGGCGGGAGGAUCACGAGGUCAGGAGAUCGAGACCGUUCUGGCUAACACGGUGAAACCCCGUCUCUACUAAAAAUGCAAAAAAUUAGCCGGGCGUGGUUGCAGGCGCCUGUAGUCCCAGCUACUAGGGAGGCUGAGGCGGGAGAAUGGCGUGAACCCGGGAGGCGGAGCUUGCAGUGAGCAGAGACCGCGCCACUGCACUCCAGCCUGGGCGACAGAGCGAGACUCCGUCUCAAAAAGAAAAAGAAAAAAAAAAAAGGGUUCCAAACAUUAACCUUUCUUCUUCUUCAGUUUGAGAGAGCCUGACUGCAACACCGUCUCCUGAAAUGAGACACAACUAUUUAAUUCACUGGCCUAUUCUCAGAAAUAGACCAGUUUAGUGGUAUCCUUUGCCACUCAGCUAUAAACUCAAUUUUUCUCUCCACAGCCACCAACUCAGCUUUUAGUGUGUAAAACGUCCAGGGAAGUUUCAGGAAAGAGAAUGUUGGGCUGCAGAACAUGAUUUUCCAAAAUAUGGCACUUUGGCAUGCUGAAUGCUUUUGAAAAUUGAAAGGCAUCAGAAAUAGGACGUUAGGCUAGCAAUUUUAUAAGUCCUCAGAAUCAAAGUCCAUCUAACCUUGUCUUGUUCCUCCCACUCCAUGGCCAAGGAGGUACUCUCUCUAGAAUUUCCUUCCAAGUAGCUAGAAUUACAGGUGUGCCCCACCAUGCCUUGUAAACUUCCCUUUUAUCCUAUCCCUGAAAUCUCACAAUCUAUUUCAGAAAAGAAAACUGAGUAAUGACCUACAGACAUGGUUAAUCAGUUAUACCCUUCUCCUGACAUACAGCUAAUCACCAUAGACUAAUGCAGACCUCCUUAUGAAACAGGCGUUUCUACCUCCAAGGGAAAAAGAUAACAAAUCUUUGGCUGACCAACUGAUGUUUAUCAGCAAUGCUUCCUCACAUCAAAUCUUUAUCAAAAUGAAGAAAUGUGAAAUGUGAUAUACAAAACAGUAUCACUUGGUUCAGAGCUCUAAAAUGGAGUCAAGAAGCCACUCUAUUACUACCUACACAACAUGAAACCCUGCAGGAAAAAAAAAAAGGAACAGGAACUUGCCUUGAACCUUUGAACUGGGCUAAACUACAAUGACCACAUCUUAGAAAGCAGCUGAAUUUCACCAGCACUGCAACUCCUGCAUAGCAACAACCAAUGUACCAUGGACUUAUGUACUAAGCCAGCCACCUCCACCAAUGAUAAUUCUUUCAAAACAACUUGUGCAAUCACUCUCGGCAUCCUUUGAAAAAUUCCUACUCUCCUUCCUGUCUUUGGAAAACAAUUUGGCUCUUAGCCAAAUCCGUGUCUCCCAAAUUGCAACUUUUAAGGCCUCAAAUGCCUAGUCUUACUGCAUUGCACUCUGGUGUUUUGCCCCUUCUUACUUGACAUAUUAUACUUACAUCUCCAUUUCUAGUUGUGUUGAUUUUUUUAUUUUUUUAUUUUUAUUUUUAUUUUUGGAUAGUGUCUCACUCUGUCACCCAGGCUGGAGUACAGUGAUGCUGUCAGGGCUCACUGCAGUCUUGACCACCUGGGUUCAAGUGAUCCUCCCGCCUCAGCCUCCCAUGUAGCUGGGACUACAGGCAUGCACCACCAUGCCUGGCUAGUUUUCUUACUUUUGGUAGACACAUGGUUUCACCAUGUUGCCCAGGCUGGUCACAAACUUCUGGGUUCAAGUGAUCCACCUGCCUUGGCCUCCCGAAGUGCUUGUAUUACAGGUGUAAGCCACUGUGCCUGGCCUUGUAUCAACUUUUUGAUAGUAUCUCUUGACAGAAUGUAAAUGUGAGUAAUACAGACUCAGCAUGGUAGAGAAAUGAUAUAUGAAGGAGUGGUAUUACAGAGACAGGAUAGAUUAUUCGAUAAAUUCGGCUCUGGGACAAUUGGAUAUCAAACCAUAUGCCCUAUUCAAAAAUCAGUUGUUGGUGGAUCAAAAUUUUAUUUUAAAACUUUAUUUUUUAAAUAAAUUUUUGUUUUAUUUUAUCAUAUAUAUGUGUGUGUGUGUAUAUAUAUAAGCAUCUGCAUGGAAUUUUUCCCAUCUUUUUAAGUGUUUGAGGGUACACAGUAGAUAUAUAUAUAUUUAUGGGGUACAUAAAAUAUUUUCUACAGGCAUGCGAUGCAAAAUAGUCACAUCAGAGUGAAUGGGGUAGCCAUCCCCCCAGGCACUUAUUCUUUGUAUUAUAAACAAUCCAAUUGUACUCUUUUAGUUAUUUUGAAAUAUAGAACUUAAUUAUUUUUGACUACAGUCACCCUGUAGUGGUAGCAAAAUACUAAGUCUUAUUCAUUCUUUCAAACUAUUUUUGUACCUUUUAACCAUGCCCAACUCCCGCCUGCCCAGGACCCCACUACCCUUUGCAGCCUCUGGUAGCCAUCCUUCUACUCUCUAUGUCCAUAAGUUCACCUGUUUUGAUUUUUAGUUCCCACAAAUAAGUGAGAACAUGCAAAAUUUUUCUUUCUCUGCCUGCCUUAUUUCACUUAACAUCAUGACCUCAAGUUCCAUCCAUGUUGUUGCCAAUUACAGGAUCUCAUUCCUUUUUUAUGGCUGCACAGUACUCCAUUGCUUAUAUGUGCCAUAUUUUCUUUAUCCAUUUAUCUGUUGAUGGAGACUUAGGUUGCUUCCAAAGCUUGACUGUUAUGAAUAGUGCUGCAAUAAACAUGGAGUGCAGAUAUAACCUUGAUACACUGAUUUCCAUUCUUUUGUGUAUAUACCCAGGGGUGGGUGUAUAUACCCAGAGUGAAAUUCCGUCUCGGAAAAAAAAAAAAAAAAAAAAAAAAAGAGUUCUUUUGUGACCUAAAUAUGGUCUAUCCUUGAGAAAAUCUAUGUGCUGAGGAAAGAUGGUGUAUUUUACAGAUGUUGGAUGAAAUGUUCUGUAAAUAUGUAUUAGGUUCAUUUGGUCUACAGUUCAGAUUCAUUCUGAUGUUUCUUUAUUCACUUUCUGUUUGGAAGAUCUGUCCAGUGCUGACAGUUGGGUAUUAAAGUCUCCAGCUAUUAUUGUACUGGGGUCUAUUUUCUCUCCUUAGCUCUAAUACUAUUUGCCUUACAUAUCUGGGUGCCCCAGUGUUGGGUGCACAUAUAUUUACAAUUGCUAUAUCCCAUUGCUGAAUUGGCCCCUUUAUCAUUAAAUACUGUCCUUAUCUCUUCAUAUAGUUUUUGUUUUGAAAUAUAUUUUUUUCUGAUGUAAGUAUAGCUACUCUUGCUCUUUCUUGGUUUCCACUUGCAUGCAAUUUCUUUCUCCAUCCCUUUAUUUUCAGUCUGUGUGUGUCUUUAUAGGUGAAAUGUGUUUCUUAUAGGC